rnacentral:rRNA from 1 species
UGUGGGUAACGGCCCACCAAGGCGACGACGGGUAGCCGGCUGAGAGGGCGACCGGCCACACUGGGACUGAGACACGGCCCAGACUCCUACGGGAGGCAGCAGUGGGGAAUAUUGCACAAUGGGCGCAAGCUGAUGCAGCGACGCCGCGUGAGGGAUGACGGCCUUCGGGUUGUAAACCUCUUUCAGCAGGGAAGAAGCGCAAGUGACGGUACCUGCAGAAGAAGCACCGGCUAACUACGUGCCAGCAGCCGCGGUAAUACGUAGGGUGCGAGCGUUGUCCGGAAUUAUUGGGCGUAAAGAGCUCGUAGGCGGCCUGUCGCGUCGGAUGUGAAAGCCCGGGGCUUAACCCCGGGUCGGCAUUCGAUACGGGCAGGCUAGAGUUCGGUAGGGGAGAUCGGAAUUCCUGGUGUAGCGGUGAAAUGCGCAGAUAUCAGGAGGAACACCGGUGGCGAAGGCGGAUCUCUGGGCCGAUACUGACGCUGAGGAGCGAAAGCGUGGGGAGCGAACAGGAUUAGAUACCCUGGUAGUCCACGCCGUAAACGUUGGGCACUAGGUGUGGGCGGCAUCCACGUCGUCCGGC